rnacentral:tRNA from 1 species
GCAGCAAUGGUUCACUGGUUAAAGCAUUAGGCUUGAAAUCCAGUGAAGUCUCCCCAUGCAGGUUCAAACCCUGCUUGCUGGG